CCUACGGGCGGCAGCAGUGGGGAAUAUUGGACAAUGGGCGAAAGCCUGAUCCAGCCAUGCCGCGUGUGUGAAGAAGGCCUUCGGGUUGUAAAGCACUUUCAGUGGGGAAGAAAGCCUUGGGGCUAAUACCCUCGAGGAAGGACAUCACCCACAGAAGAAGCACCGGCUAACUCCGUGCCAGCAGCCGCGGUAAUACGGAGGGUGCGAGCGUUAAUCGGAAUUACUGGGCGUAAAGCGCGCGUAGGCGGUCUGAUAAGCCGGUUGUGAAAGCCCCGGGCUCAACCUGGGAACGGCAUCCGGAACUGUCAGGCUAGAGUGCAGGAGAGGAAGGUAGAAUUCCCGGUGUAGCGGUGAAAUGCGUAGAGAUCGGGAGGAAUACCAGUGGCGAAGGCGGCCUUCUGGACUGACACUGACGCUGAGGUGCGAAAGCGUGGGUAGCAAACAGGAUUAGCUACCCGAGUAGUC
rnacentral:rRNA from 1 species